rnacentral:rRNA from 1 species
UACGGAGGAUGCAAGCGUUAUCCGGAAUGAUUGGGCGUAAAGCGUCCGCAGGUGGCUAUGUAAGUCUGCUGUUAAAGAGUCUAGCUCAACUAGAUAAGAGCAGUGGAAACUACAAGGCUAGAGUACGUUCGGGGCAGAGGGAAUUCCUGGUGUAGCGGUGAAAUGCGUAGAGAUCAGGAAGAACACCGGUGGCGAAAGCGCUCUGCUGGACCUGCACUGACGCUGAGGCGCGAAAGCGUGGGGAGCAAACAGG